CCUGCGGACAGUCCGCUGGUCCCGCACGGCUCUGGUGGAUCUCCCUCAGGCAUGGCUGCGGCAGCUCCACCGGAGCCGCGGACCAAUGGACCUUCCGCAGAAAUGGCUGCGGCAGGUCCACCGGAGCCGCGGGGCUGCGAAAUGGCCGUGCGCCUAGGGCACGAAAAACUCUAGCGCCGGUCCUCCCUAUUAAGCAUCGAGCCGAUCCAUCCUAUGGCAUCAUUGCUGGCUCUCUCUUGCUGUGAGCAACAGGCUUUCAUCCAGGGCAGGAGCCAGUCUGGAGAUGACAGGUUUCAGCUAUGCUGGGGGAGUACCCCUCUCAUUGUCUGCCUGCUCCACCUUCCCACCUCCUGGGGUUCAGCAGCCAAUUGCAGGCACAGCUUCUUCCCACUUCCUGUAGCCACCUGACUCAAUUUUCACAGGAAAGGAGAGGAAGCAAAAACAGCUCAGCAGCUGGGGAUGGCUCUGUUCCCUCUUCUUCCUGCUCCUCUGUGCCUCACCCUGCCCUCCCUGCAACAUCCCCCCUGAGAAGGGGGCAGAGGGGAUGAAGAACCCUGAAGCUGCCCAACCCUAGUCUGGUUGGGGACAAGACUGUCUCUGCCCUAGGCCUGGGAGAGUAGGGGUGAGGAAUCCCAGGAGGAGCAGAGGUGAAGCUGGGGAGGCUGAACUGAUGGGGAAUAGGGGCUGGGUGGGUAGAAAUGGGGGGGGAGCUGGGUAGAUGUGUGGAGGGGAUGGGCAAACCUGAUGAGGGGGUAGAACUGAUGUGUGGACUGUGGGGGAAAGGAUUGAUUUGGAGGUUGGGAGCAGAAUUAAUUGCUAGGCAGAGGAGAUAUUGGGGCAAGAGCUCCUGCAGCAGGGGCCAGUCACCUCUAAUACACUAGAGAGAGUGGGCCACACACACAUGUGCAUGAUGGGCGGAGAGAGUUCAGAAAUCAAAAGACAGACCAACAAAACCACAAUAGAAUUUUUGUUUAAAAAUCUCAUAAUUUUGGGAACAAUCAUGAUUUCUGGAGGGUAGGGUCUGGACACACGAUUUAAAAAAAACCAAACUCCUCCGUGGCUGGCACUACUGCAAUGCUGACGCUUAUCAGCCCCCAGAGAAGUUGUUGGUUGAUAUAGAUAAGGUACACUGUUCUUAGACGUCCAUUGGCAUCCAAAUCAGCUAGCCCUAAAAAUGGAUGGUGCUGUGUGUCAGGCACAUACCUGGCCAUUGCUGAGAAUGAAAGAGGCAGGGGCUAUGGCUGGAUGAGUAGAAGGGCCACUGCCUGGGGUCCAGAAGCCUAAGGUGUGGGCCCAGACAGAGCCCCUGCAACUGCAGAUCUUGGUGGCAGUAGCAAAUAUUCAAACGAGAACUUCAAAGGCCAAAGAUGAGAAAGGUGCCAGGUGCCCAGCAAUUGAACAGUGUUUUCACCCUGGGAUCGGUGAGCCUCAUUCCAAAGGGACAGGUGACAACCUCUGCUGUCCUUAGAAAGGGCUCCUGGUCCAGAUUAUCUGAGGGAGGGGAUGAGACCUGCCCAGUACAGUAACCCAAGCGAUCCUCGAGAAACUGUGCAGAACCAAGUUCUCUUUUCAUUAUGAAGGAAAGGUUGCGCUGGAAUGGGCUUGCCCCAUGCCUGAGCUUGGAAAGCAGUGUGGUUCUUGUGAUAUCUGGCAAAUUCUACACAGUCCUUAAACAUCAGCUGGAGAUGGAGUAAAUCUCUCCCUGAUCCAUGCCCAUAUCAGCAGCAGGUCUCCACCAGAACAGACCUGCCUCAAAGAUUUAACAAUCUGAAUAGAGUACAUUGUAUAAAUGAGUGUAAAACAAAACAGAGAGGAGGAAGGGGAAGACAAGGAUGAUAAUACAGACAGGAACACAAGAUUGGCCUAUGUAUAAUCUGGAAGUUUCAAAGUUGUUUAUUUGAUUUAAACAAGAUAAAUGAACAAAAGAUAUUAAUGAAUCUCUAAAAGGCUACCAGCUCAGUAAACCAAUAAAUGUAGUUGUAGAUGGAAAAAAUGCUAUGAAGGCACAAAGUAUUAUUUAUUAUUUCUUGUUUCUUGCCUCUUACCUUCUCUUUUUGAUCAAUUGUUACCAUAAAUAUAUUACUUAUCUAUUUCUGAUCUUGAUCCUUUAGACAUUCUUUGGGGACAUGAAUUUCCCUCAACUCCAGGUCUGUAGAUAAGUAUUAAAUACAUUCUCAAGAGUAAAUAAUUGUUUCUGAUGCUUAAAGUUAGUAAAUAGUUUAGCUGGUUAUAGAAUGGUCUGCUUCUGAUUAAAAGCUCUGGGGAGCUUUAUAAGAUGCAAUUCAGGUCUUGAUCAUAAGGUUUUCCUCUGCCCUGUGACAAUUCCAUUAUAUGGACAAAUGGAGCUCUCUAUUUUCUACUAAGCAAGUUCUUCUAAGGAUUGAUAGUGGAAGGUGAUCAGUGGGCCCACCCAUAUGUUUGAAGUUAAGCAUGGACUUAAGUGCUUUGGUGGAUCAGGACAAGAGUGCUUGCCACCUAGCAGACUUGAGCCAUGUGUGAUUACUCUGGUAAAGCAAGUAAAGAUUUCACUAGCUUAUUUGAAUCUCUGGUUAUUUGCAUGCACAGUUAGACAGAUUAUGUGCUUCUCAACUAAUAUCUAUCAUGCUAUUGAUACAGUGGCCAAAUUAAUCACUGGUGUAAAUGGGCACCACUCCACAGGGGGGAAAUUGCUUCUCGACCCCACAUGCGAUCAGUUAGAGCCUGAGCUUGUCAGCAAGAACCAGCCAGUGGUUAGCUUAUUCCCAGAAGUAUAAGGGCUUAUAUCCCUCAUCAUUUUUUUAUCAUGUGUAAUGUAACUGUGGACGUUCUCAUUAUCCAAUAUCAAUGUCCAAUACCAAUUAGAAUCCUACUAAACUCUUGGCCAUAUCCAUAUCUUUGUGAGUUUCACAGGUUAAUUAUAGAAUCAGAGAAAUGUAGGACUAGAACGGACCUCAAUAGGUCCCCUGCACUAAGGCAGGACUAAAUAUUAUCUAGACUAUUCCUGAUAGGUGUUUGUCUUAGCUGUUCUUAAAAACCUCUGACAGAGAUUCCACAAUCUUCCCAGGCAAUUAGUUCCAGAGUGUUCAACUACCCUUACAGUUAGGAAGUUUUUCCUAAUGUCUAACCUAAAUAAUCUUUGCUUCAGUUUAAGCCCAUUGCUUCUUGUCCUGUCCUCAGUGGAUAAGGAGCACAAUUUAUCACCCUCCUUUUUAUAACAGUCUUUGAUGUACUUUAAGAUUAUCAUAUCCCCGUUGUGUUUUUUUUCCUCCGGACUAAACAAAGCUAAUUUUUUAAUCCUUCCUUGUAGAUCACGUUUUCUAGGCCUUUAAUAAUUUUUGUUGCUCUCCUCUGGACUUUCUCGAAUUUGUCCACAACUUUCCUGAAGUGUGGCGCCCAGAACUGGACACAGUAUUCCAACUGAGGCCUCAUUCGUGCUGACUAGAGUGGAAGAAUUAUUCCUUGUGUCUUGCUUACAACACUCCUGCUAAUACAUCCCAAAAUGAUGUUUGCUUUUUUUUUUUGGCAACAGUAUUACACUGUUGAUUCAUACUUAGUUUGUGGUCCUCUAUCACCUCCAGAUCCUUUUCUGCAGCACUCCUUCCUAGGCUGUCAUUUCCACUUAGAGGAGGGGAAAGUGAUCAGGAACAGUCAGCAUGGAUUCAUCAAGGGCAAGUCAUGCCUGACUAACCUAAUUGCCUUCUAUGAUGAGAUAACUGGCUCUGUGGAUGAGGGGAAAGCAGUGGAUGUGUUAUUUCUUGACUUUAGCAAAGCUUUUGAUAUGGUUUUCACAGUAUUCUUGCCAGCAAUUUAAAGAAGUAUGGGCUGGAUGAUUGGACUAUAAGGUGGAUAGAAAGCUGGCUAGAGCGUCAGGCUCAAUGAGUAGUGAUCAAUGGCUCCAUGUCUAGUUGGCAGCCAGUUUCAAGCGGAGUGCCCCAAGGGUCGGUCCUGGGGCCAGUUUUGUUCAAUAUCUUCAUUAAUGAUCUGGAGGAUGGCAUGGACCACACUCUCAGCAAGUUUGCAGAUGACACUAAACUGGAAGAAGUGGUAGAUACGCUGGAGGGUAGGGAUAGGAUACAGAGGGACCUAGAUAAAUUAGAGGACUGGGCCAAAAGAAACCUGAUGAGGUUCAACAAGGACAAGUGUAGAGUCCUGCACUUAGGAUGGAAGAAUCCCAUUCACUGUUACAGACUAGGGACUGAAUGGCUAGGAAGCAGUUAUGCAGAAAAGGACCUAGGGGUUACAGUGGACGAGAAGCUGGAUAUGAGUCAACAGUGUGCCCUUGUUACCAAGAAGGCUAAUGGCAAUUGGGCUGUAUAAGUAAGGGCAUUGCCAGCAGAUCGAGGGAUGUGAUCAUUUCUCUGUAUUCAACAUUGGUGAGGCCUCAUCUGGAGUACUAUGUCCAGUUUUGGGCCCCACACUACAAGAAGGAUGUGGAAAAAUUGGAAAGAGUCCAGCAGAGGGCAACAAAAAUGAUUAUGGGGCUGGAGCACAUGAUUUAUGAGGAGAGGCCGAGGGAACUGGGAUGAUUUAGUCUGCAGAAGAGAAGAACGAGGGGGAUUUGAUAGCUGCUUUCAACUACCAGAAAGGGGGUUCCAAAGAGGAUGGAUCUAGACUGUUCUCAGUGGUACCUGAUGGCAGAACAAGGAGUAAUGGUCUUAAGUUGUAGUGAGGGAGGUUUAGGUUGGAUAUUAGGAAAAACUUUUUCACUGGGAGGGUGGUGAAGCACUGGAAUGGGUUACUUAGGGAGAUGGUGGAAUCUCCUUCCUUAGAGGUUUUUAAGGUCCGGCUUGACAAAGCUCUGGCUGGGAUGAUUUAGUUGGGAAUUGGUCCUGCUUUGAGCAGGGGAUUGGACUAGAUUACCUCCUGAGGUCCCUUCCAACCCUGAUUUUCUAUGAUUCUAUGACUGAGUAUUCCUUCUUAAGUGUAGUAUUUUGCAUUUGUCCUUAUUGAUUUUAAUCCUGUUUACCCCAGAUCAUUUCUCCAGUUUGUCAAGAUCAUUUUGAAUUCUAUUCCUGUCCUCCAAAAUGCUUGUAACCCCUCCCGGCUUAGUAUUGUCCACAAACUUUAAGUGUACUCUCAAUGCCAUUAUUCAAAUAAUUUAUGAAGACAUUGAAUAGAACCAAAUAAGAGAAUUAUGCCUUUAAUAAAACUGUAUUCCCGUUUAUCAGGUUGCUUUCCAUUAGAGUAACCACAGUGAGCACAGUAUUGAUUAAAUUUUCAACAUUAUCUUCUAUCCCAUUACUUAUAAAUCUUAAUAUGGAUUGAACUUAAAAGUAAACAAUCACCAUGAGGUCCAGCAAUCUUCCCACCUUAACAGGGGAAGAGAAAAAGAGACAAAUGUACAGUAUAAUUUUUUAGGCUAAUGGAAAUUUAGCAUGACAGUUUGACGAAUUAGAUUUGAUUGGGUCAAAAGUUCUCUUGUAUAUUUUUAUUACCUCUAGUAUAAGAUAUUUUAUUAUAACCCUAUGCCAUUUUAUGUUCUAUUAUUUUAAGAACGUUAUGUGGAUGUAUAUAUGACUUUUGUUUUUUAAUUAUAUGUUUUUUAUUAUGUUA